rnacentral:rRNA from 1 species
GUCUAUGGCCGUGCCACCCUGAACAAGCCCGAUGUCUGAUCUCGGAAGCUAAACAGGGUCAGGCCUGGUUAGUACUUGGAUGGCAGACUACCUAGGAAGACCAGGGGCUGUAGAUG